AGUUCGAUUAUGGCUCAGAUUGAACGCUGGCGGGAUGCUUUACACAUGCAAGUCGAACGGCAGCACGGACUUCGGUCUGGUGGCGAGUGGCGAACGGGUGAGUAAUGUAUCGGAACGUGCCUAGUAGCGGGGGAUAACUGCUGUUGAAAGCGGUAGCUAAUACCGCAUACCGCCCUUCGGGGGAAAGCGGGGACCUUCGGGCCUCGCACUAUUAGAGCGGCCGAUAUCGGAUUAGCUAGUUGGUGGGGUAACGGCUCACCAAGGCGACGAUCCGUAGCUGGUUUCGAGAGGACGACCAGCCACACUGGGACUGAGACACGGCCCAGACUUACUGGAGGCAGCAGUGGGGAAUUUUGGACAAUGGGGAAACCCUGAUCCAGCCAUCCCGCGUGUGCGAUGAAGGUACUCCGGGUUGUAAAGCACUUUUUGGCAGGAAAGAAACGGCACGGGAUAAUACCCCGUGCAACUGACGGUACCUGCAGAAUAAGCACCGGCUAACUACGUGCCAGCAGCCGCGGUAAUACGUAGGGUGCAAGCGUUAAUCGGAAUUACUGGGCGUAAAGCGUGCGCAGGCGGUUCUGAAAGAAAGAUGUGAAAUCCCAGAGCUUAACUUUGGAACUGCAUUUUUAACUACCGAGCUAGAGUGUGUCAGAGGGAGGUGGAAUUCCGCGUGUAGCAGUGAAAUGCGUAGAUAUGCGGAGGAACACCGAUGGCGAAGGCAGCCUCCUGGGAUAACACUGACGCUCAUGCACGAAAGCGUGGGGAGCAAACAGGAUUAGAUAAUUCUGGUAGUCCACGCCCUAAACGAUGUCAACUAGCUGCUGGGGCCUUCGGGCCUUGGUAGCGCAGCUAACGCGUGAAGUUGACCGCCUGGGGAGUACGGUCGCAAGAUUAAAACUCAAAGGAAUUGACGGGGACCCGCACAAGCGGUGGAUGAUGUGGAUUAAUUCGAUGCAACGCGAAACCUUACCUACCCUUGACAUGUCUGAAUCCCGAAGAGAUUUGGGAGUGCUCGCAAGAGAACCGGAACACAGGUGCUGGCAUGGCUGUCGUCAGCUCGUGUCGUGAGAUGUUGGGUUAAGUCCCGCAACGAGCGCAACCCUUGUCAUUAGUUGCUACGAAAGGGCGCCUAAUGAGACUGCCGGUGACAAACCGGAGGAAGGUGGGGAUGACGUCAAGUCCUCAUGGCCCUUAUGGGUAGGGCUUCACACGUCAUACAAUGGUCGGGACAGAGGGUCGCCAACCCGCGAGGGGGAGCCAAUCCCAGAAACCCAGAUCGUAGUCCGGACUGCAGUCUGCAACUCGACUGCGUGAAGUCGGAAUCGCUAGUAAUCGCGGAUCAGCAUGUCGCGUGAAAUACGUUCCCGGGUCUUGUACACACCGCCCGUCACACCAUGGGAGUGGGUUUUACCAGAAGUAGUUAGCCUAACCGUAAGGAGGGCGAUUACCACGGUAGGAUUCAUGACUGGGGUGAAGUCGUAACAAGGUAA
rnacentral:rRNA from 1 species